rnacentral:rRNA from 2 species
ACGUAGGUCACAAGCGUUGUCCGGAAUUACUGGGUGUAAAGGGAGCGCAGGCGGGAAGACAAGUUGGAAGUGAAAUCCAUGGGCUCAACCCAUGAACUGCUUUCAAAACUGUUUUUCUUGAGUAGUGCAGAGGUAGGCGGAAUUCCCGGUGUAGCGGUGGAAUGCGUAGAUAUCGGGAGGAACACCAGUGGCGAAGGCGGCCUACUGGGCACCAACUGACGCUGAGGCUCGAAAGUGUGGGUAGCAAACAG